ensembl:piRNA 21ur-2035 ncRNA
UAAAUUUCACUCACCUCCAAA